UACGGGGGGGGCAAGCGUUGUUCGGAAUUACUGGGCGUAAAGGGCUCGUAGGUGGCCAACUAAGUCGGGAGUGAAAUCUCUGGGCUCAACCCAGAGUCUGCUUCCGAAACUGCUGUGCUUGAGUGUGGGAGAGGCGCGUGGAAUUGCAGGUGUAGCGGUGAAAUGCGUAGAUAUCUGCAGGAACACCCGUGGCGAAAGCGGCGCGCUGGACCACUACUGACGCUGAAGAACGAAAGCUAGGGGAGCAAACAGG
rnacentral:rRNA from 1 species